ACACCAAUGGUGAAGCGGUUAUCAUGCUUGCCUUCCAUGCUUACGUAAGGGUUAUUGAUUUAUCCGCUACACCGUAAUCGUGUCAGCAAGCGGCAGGGGUUCGACUCCCCUUUGGUGUA